rnacentral:rRNA from 1 species
CCUACGGGUGGCAGCAGUGGGGAAUAUUGGACAAUGGGGGGAACCCUGAUCCAGCCAUGCCGCGUGUGUGAAGAAGGCCCUCGGGUUGGAAAGCACUUUCAGUGAGGAAGAACGCCUGGUGGUUAAUACCCAUCAGGAAAGACAUCACUCACAGAAGAAGCACCGGCUAACUCCGUGCCAGCAGCCGCGGUAAUACGGAGGGUGCGAGCGUUAAUCGGAAUUACUGGGCGUAAAGCGCGCGUAGGUGGCUUGAUAAGCCGGUUGUGAAAGCCCCGGGCUCAACCUGGGAACGGCAUCCGGAACUGUCAAGCUAGAGUGCAGGAGAGGAAGGCAGAAUUCCCGGUGUAGCGGUGAAAUGCGUAGAGAUCGGGAGGAAUACCAGUGGCGAAGGCGGCCUUCUGGACUGACACUGACACUGAGGUGCGAAAGCGUGGGUAGCAAACAGGAUUAGAUACCCGGGUAGUC